rnacentral:rRNA from 1 species
CCCUUAGACGCUCUGGGCCGCACGCGCGCUACACUGACCAGUGCAACAAGCAUCCGUCCUUGGCCGACAGGCUCGGGUAAUCUUUGAACGCUGGUCGUGAUGGGGAUAGACUUUUGCAAUUUUUGGUCUUCAACGAGGAAUUCCUAGUAAACGCAAGUCAUCAACUUGCAUUGAUUACGUCCCUGCCCUUUGUACACACCGCCCGUCGCACCUACCGAUUGAAUGGUCCGGUGAAGCCUCCGGAUUGGCGCGCACCUCGGUGCCGCCGAGAAGUUGGCUAAACCUUACCAUUUAGAGGAAGGUGAAGUCGUAACA